GAUGAAGAACGUAGCGAAAUGCGAUACGUAAUGUGAAUUGCAGAAUUCAGUGAAUCAUCGAAUCUUUGAACGCAUAUUGCGCUCUCUGGUAUUCCGGAGAGCAUGCUUGUUUGAGUAUCAGUAAACACCUCAACUCCCCUUUCUUUUUUUGAAAUGGGAGCUGGACUUGAGUGAUCCCAACGCUUUUCUCACCGAAAAGUGGCGGGUUACUUGAAAUGCAGGUGCAGCUGGACUUUUCUCUGAGCUAAAAGCAUAUCUAUUUAGUCUGCCUAAAAAACAGAUUAUUACCUUUGCUGCAGCUAACAUAAAGGAGAUUAGUUCUUGUGCUGACUGAUGCAGGAUUCACAGAGACAGCUUCGGCUGGCCUUUGUAAACUCGAUCUCAAAUCAAGUAAGACUACCCGCUGAACUUAAGCAUAUCAAAAGCGGAGGA
rnacentral:misc_RNA from 1 species